rnacentral:rRNA from 1 species
AUGAACGCUGGCGGCGUGCCUAAGACAUGCAAGUCGAGGGGGUUUAGACCCCCGGCGAACGGGUGAGUAACACGUGGGAACUUCCAUUAAGUUGAGGAUAACCUUCCGAAAGGGAGGACAAUACUCAAUGUGGCCGCAAGGCUAAAGAUUUAUCGCUUAAUGCAAGGCCCGCGUCCCAUCAGCUAGUUGGUAGGGUAAAAGCCUACCAAGGCUAUGACGGGUAGCGGAACCGAGAGGUUGAUCCGCCACACUGGGACUGCGACACGGCCCAGACUCCUACGGGAGGCAGCAGUUUGGAAUUUUGGACAAUGGGCGAAAGCCUGAUCCAGCGACGCCGCGUGCACGAUGAAGGCCUUCGGGUCGUAAAGUGCUUUUAGCAGGAACGAAUUUUUGACGGUACCUGCGGAAUAAGAGGUUGCUAACUCUGU